GAGUUGAAAAACCCUAGGUUUCACUCACUGGCACCCACCUAUCUUUCGAAAACCUCCCGAACCCCUCACAAGUUCGAUCAUCUCUCGCCUUCUCCAUCACUGUCGGCGUCCCUCAUUCUCUUCCUCUACCCGAUUGGAAGAGGACAGGCUCCCUCUUCCGCCUCCAUCUCAUCUACAUCCGACGCUAAUGCACACAAUAGGAGCUUCAUCCCAGAAUCCGCAGGCCAUCUCAUCUCCUCUACCAUCUUCCUCGCUGUUGACGGCAAGGUCUUCUCACAGAGCUUCCAGAUCUGAAAGCCAUCUCACGGUGCCUUCAUCUUUAGCCCACAGCUUCUUCCAAUUGGGAGAGGCGCCACCACCGAACUCUACAUCACCCUCUCCUGAUUAGUAGAGGUUUCUUCGCCACAACUAGUUUCCUUCCACUUCUCCAUUUCGGAUUUGAAGAGUAAAGCUUCAUCACUAGCCAGCAGCCCCUCUCCUCUUCGGAUUUGAAGAGGAGAGUUCUUAUCUGAACUUAUCGUUUGACUGGAAGACCAGCUCACAUUAAUUAGAACUGACACACCCAAUUCGGCUAGGUUUGGCCCUAAAUUUCUCGGUCUGUUCUAGGACGAGAUUUUGAAUUCGCAAGACAAGUCUUGUUCUCUUGCCAAGAAGGUAAGUUCAUCAGAGUAUGCUUGCCCUUUUCUUUCUUAGAUUCUUGUUUAGGUGAUAUGUACCAACAGAAGAAAGUUAGUUCUGAAAUUCUGGUUUAGAUGCAUUUUCAAACUUAGAAAUAGUUGGCGUGAUCUUGCUGGGAUAGCUUUUUCAUAGAUCACUGAAAAGUUGGUGGAAUUUUCCUUCAUUUUCUAGUUGAAACAUUUAAUUAAGUUCGGAAUAUGCAAGUUUCAAAGAGCUUUCAUGAUAGAGUUGGAACCAAACCAAAAAAAAAUUAGAGUAGCAGCUGUAAUAAUUAACCUUGCUGCAGAGGCACCUUUUCCUCUGUUCUUUUUGUUAUCAGAAAUAUCUAGGGAUUUGUCUUGACAGUCUUAUUGAUAUUAUCUUUAUAUCUUGUAUGCCAAUAUGCAGUUUGUUUUGGCCUUCACAAUUAUGUGGGGAUUCUCUUUGAUACUUCUCUUGAUAUAUCUGUUUGUGAUAUGACAUUGUUCUCUUUUGUUAGCCAACUCAUGAGUAGCAUUUCCUCUCUAAAUGAACAUGUUAUUUCUAUUAUUCUAACAUGCUGUAUGAAAAUUUAUUUGGAUUGUAAUGACAUCCUUUUUUGUUCUUGACUUCUUAUCCAGUAUUGAUGUAUGUUCGACAAUUCGAACUUAAUGCCCAUAUUGCAUCCCCUAGCUUGUCUUCCUAUAGAUGUUUUUCCUAUUUGUAGGCAGUUAGAAAUUUCUACUUGGUUCCUUUCUAAAGCAAGUUAAGAAAUGAAGCUACCUGUGCACUCUAUGAGGUUUCAUGAAUUUAGGCAGUCUGUUCCACCAACUGAGUUUUUAACCAUUGUUUUUUUGGCCCUUUCCUAGCAUGCAUAUUAGUGGAUGUAUUCCUAGUAUGCAAUGUAAAACUUAAAAUAAAAUAUCCUUCUUUGAGAAUAAGUUCUCUUUAAUUUUCAUAUUAUGAUAAAUUAAUAACACAAAUUCCUACUUACAUGUGGUCUUAUACCAUCAAAUUUUCUACUUAGCAAUUCUGGUAUUUGAAUAUGGAACUUUAUUAGCUUCUUGUGUAUCACUUCUAAAGGACAUCAUAUCACAGGUAAAUUCUAAAGGAUACGUUUGAUAUGCUUGUUUAAGUUGAUUACAUAUGAUUUUUCUUCUUCAUUGCAAGUAACUUUUGUGUGAGAUAUACAUUUUCAGUAAUAUAUAUAUUCUGCAUUGUUGAUAACGCACAUGUCAAGCAUACAAUUUUUACUUUAAGCCUCUUCUCAAGUGCAACGAGAAAGCCACAUAUAAACAUAGCUAAGUGAUGCUCAAAAUUGCUUGCAUGAUGCUCUUUGAGGAGACAUUGAUAAGCGAAGAGGAGGAAGAAGCACUACUUGAUCAGAAUAUGGAGGAUUAAGAUGCAAAAUAUAGAAAAAUAAAAGUCCAUGGCUGCAUAUAUCAAGAGAGAGGUUUGUUCUGCCUUGGUGCAACUUAUAGAAGUUCGACCAUCAUUCCUAGAGUGCAUUUUCAGAUAUUUUUGAAGGUGAAUGGAGGUAUUCAAAAACUCCAGCUAAAUAGCUCGGGUAUGGAUGAUUACAGGAGCAACAACUACAUGCUAUGUGGCACUGCAUCCGAACAUCAUGGGUGUGAUUGGGAAGUACUUCGACGAAGAACUAUCAAGAAGGCUUUGGGAUUUAAGUGAGAAUAUGGUUAAAGUCAAUGAGUAAAGAACAUUCAAGUCAAGAGGAUAAGUAGCAUCUAUAAAGAUCCUUUAAUUUCAUACAAUAAGAUGUAGAUGAUAGAAGUUUUCAGUGUCUCCUAAUUAAAAUUUCUUUGUAUGCAAGUAAUUAUGCUUGUUAUAAAGUGUAUGGAUGAUAAUUUAUAUAUUUAUCUUGGUUGUUUAUUUAA